rnacentral:rRNA from 1 species
CUACGGGUUGCUGCAGUGAGGAAUAUUGGUCAAUGGGCGAGAGCCUGAACCAGCCAUGCCGCGUGCAGGAUGACGGCCCUAUGGGUUGUAAACUGCUUUUGUACGGGAAGAAUAGGCGCCACGUGUGGCGAUUUGACGGUACCGUACGAAUAAGCACCGGCUAACUCCGUGCCAGCAGCCGCGGUAAUACGGAGGGUGCAGGCGUUAUCCGGAUUUAUUGGGUUUAAAGGGUGCGUAGGCGGGCUUAUAAGUCAGUGGUGAAAUCUCGUGGCUCAACCAUGAAAUUGCCAUUGAUACUGUAGGCCUUGAGUAUAGUUGAGGUAGGCGGAAUGUGUCAUGUAGCGGUGAUAUGCUUAGAUAUGACCCAGAACACCAAUUGCGUAGGCAGCUUGCUAAACUAUUACUGACGCUGAUGCACGAAAGCGUGGGUAGCGAACAGGAUUAGAUACCCCCGUAGUC